AAACUGAAGAGUUUGAUCCUGGCUCAGAUUGAACGCUGGCGGCAUGCCUUACACAUGCAAGUCGAACGGCAGCACGGGUGCUUGCACCUGGUGGCGAGUGGCGAACGGGUGAGUAAUACAUCGGAACAUGUCCUGUAGUGGGGGAUAGCCCGGCGAAAGCCGGAUUAAUACCGCAUACGAUC
rnacentral:rRNA from 1 species